rnacentral:rRNA from 1 species
UACGUAGGGUGCAAGCGUUAAUCGGAAUUACUGGGCGUAAAGCGUGCGCAGGCGGUUUUGUAAGACAGUGGUGAAAUCCCCGGGCUCAACCUGGGAACUGCCAUUGUGACUGCAAAGCUAGAGUGCGGCAGAGGGGGAUGGAAUUCCGCGUGUAGCAGUGAAAUGCGUAGAUAUGCGGAGGAACACCGAUGGCGAAGGCAAUCCCCUGGGCCUGCACUGACGCUCAUGCACGAAAGCGUGGGGAGCAAACA